rnacentral:sRNA from 1 species
GUUGUUAACGAACCAUUCUUAAACUCAAACUCUAAUUAUGGAAUAACUGGUGGGCGUGCCGCGAAACUCCCUAUAUCUAUAGCUAAUUAUAACCGGAGAAGCCGAUAAACUAUCAACCUAAAUAUGCAUUCUUAACGAGUUCAAUUGGUCAUCUUAGUAGAUAGGCCGAUUCUUAUUACACACCUAUAAACCAGACUCAUCAAAUAAUAGAUCCAACACCAGAUACCUAUGGCGGGCAUAUCUAUUGUCUAGAUUCAAGAUCUAGUUAAUUACUCUAGAUCUAGCAUUAGGCAUAAUUAAAGAUGAAGAAUUCUACAGAUAACCUAGCAAAGGGGGCAAUCUACUAAACCAUAUGAAUCCCUAAUGAGAAACCCUAUUCCUAACAAGCAGAUUACUCAGACAUAUUGGAUGAAGCAAACAAAAUAUUUGAGAUAGAGAAAGGGAAAGAAGGGAUCUCUUCACUGUAUAUAGAUCUGAAUGAAACUCUCAAGAACAAUGGAUGAAUAGCUUAUAUCUCUCACAAUAGGGUUGGCAAAGAACUUGAUAAAAGACUUGAUAAAAGAAACUUAGGUCUAAAAACAAUAUAUAUAGACCCUAAAGACGUCAAGGGACUAAUAAUGCAAAUAAGGAAAUC